rnacentral:lncRNA from 1 species
GCCCGGGAAAAAACAGAAUGUCGUCAUUCCAGCCCCAGGCUGAAACACAUUAUCGCCUUUCUCAAGUGGCCGAUCAAGAGACACUGGCUUAUGCGCGUGACCCCGACCGCCCCCGCCUUUGGGAUUUUUUCCUCUGUUUGCCGAAAAGGAGAUUCCCUGUCGGAAUAUUGUCGCUUUUCUACGAGAAAAAUGUCGUAAAAAUUGAUUUUAAACAGCGGUUGACAUGCUUCGAAGUGAAUUACAGGAGAAGGUGAUUCACUCAAUCCAACCAGGAGACUGGGUGUGGAUCCAGUCCCUGAGGAGAAAAAACUGGAAGCAACACCGUUGGGAAGGCCCAUACCAGGUUCUUUUAAACCACUGCCUUUGCCAUUAGAAAAGCUGAGAGAGUCACUUGGGUCCACGUUACCCACUGCAAGGAGGUAUGUACACAUAUGAACACUGCUGAUCACACACAGAGUUAGGAGAAGAACCGAUACCAACAUGGUCCGGGGGUUACCUCUUUAACGAAGAUUCCCUAUCCCGACCGUUCAUCACUGUGUGUGCUCCUAGAGGUGUGAGUAUGGGGUGGUACCUAGCAGAUCGACUAAGGGCAGGAGAGGGUUGGCGGUUUUUGGGAAGAGUAGAGACUCUGAGCUGCAUCAUAGGUUGGGGUUUUUUUGGGAAGAGUAGAGACUCUGAGCUGCAUCAUAGUUUUGGUAACCUUUCUGAUACAUUCAGAUCCACCACCUUC